GCCGUUAUAGCUCAGGGGUAGAGCACUUCCUNNUGUAAGGAAGAGGCCCGGGGUUCAAAUCCCCGUAACGGCU
rnacentral:tRNA from 1 species